GUGCUCACUACAAGGGCAUUUACACAAAAAUUAGAAUGAUACAGAGAUUAGCAUGCCCCUGUGCAAGGCUAACAUGCAGAUUUGUGAAAUGCUCCACCUUUUU